GAUGAACGCUAGCGGCAGGCUUAAUACAUGCAAGGUCAAGGGGCCAGCAAUGGCACCGGCGGACGGGUGAGUAACGCGUACACAACGUACCUUUAACUGGGGGAUAGCAUCUGGAAACGGGUGGUAAUACCGCAUGUGGUUGCGGGGAGGCAUCUCCUUGUAACUAAAACUUUGGUGGUUAGAGAUCGGUGUGCGUCUGAUUAGCUAGUUGGUAGGGUAGAGGCCUACCAAGGCGACGAUCAGUAGGGGGCGUGAGAGCGUGAACCCCCACACGGGUACUGAGACACGGACCCGACUCCUACGGGAGGCAGCAGUAAGGAAUAUUGGUCAACGGAGGGAACUCUGAACCAGCCAUGCCGCGUGAAGGAAGAAGGCGCUACGCGUUGUAAACUUCUUUUGGGUGGGACGAAAAUAAUCCAUUUAUGGAUAGCUGACGGUACCAUCAGAAUAAGCACCGGCUAACUCCGUG
rnacentral:rRNA from 1 species